rnacentral:rRNA from 1 species
UACGUAGGGGGCUAGCGUUGUCCGGAAUCACUGGGCGUAAAGAGCGUGUAGGCGGCCCGGCAAGUCCGUUGUGAAAGUCGGGGGCUCAACCCUCGGAUGCCGGUGGAUACUGUCGGGCUUGAGUACGGAAGAGGCGAGUGGAAUUCCUGGUGUAGCGGUGAAAUGCGCAGAUAUCAGGAGGAACACCAAUUGCGAAGGCAGCUCGCUGGGACGUUACUGACGCUGAGACGCGAAAGCGUGGGGAGCAAACAGG